GACGAACGCUGGCGGCGUGCUUAACACAUGCAAGUCGAACGGAAAGGCCCUGCUUUUGUUGGGUGCUCGAGUGGCGAAGGGGGGUGUAACACCUGUGGAUCCCGCCCCUGACUUUGGGGUAACUUCAGGGAAAUGGGGCUAAUACCCGGUAGGAGCUCCUGCUGCCUGGUGGGGGUUGGAAAAUUUCGGCGGUUGGGGAUGGACUCGCGGCUUAUCAGCUUGUUGGUGGGGUAGUGGCUUACCAAGGCUUUGACGGGUAGCCGGCCUGAGAGGGUGACCGGCCACAUUGGGACUGAGAUACGGCCCAGACUCCUACGGGAGGCAGCAGUGGGGAAUAUUGCACAAUGGGCGGAAGCCUGAUGCAGCAACGCCGCGUGCGGGAUGACGGCCUUCGGGUUGUAAACCGCUUUCGCCUGUGACGAAGCGUGAGUGACGGUAAUGGGUAAAGAAGCACCGGCUAACUACGUG
rnacentral:rRNA from 1 species